CUGAAAGGGGCAAUUAGGGUUUGUGUAUUGUAUAUCUAUUCAGCUCUCAGACACUCUCCUUCCUCUUUGUCCUUCACGCUAGCGGCGGCCAGAAGCUACCCUCCGACGAAAUUGAAUCCUCCGGCCACCGCACGCAAAAACGCAUCAAGAUCCUCUCCUCUAUCCGGCUUGCUCUCACUCUCUCUCAAUCUCAUUCUUUAACCCUAAGCUUCGUAACACUUGAAAUCCGGAAUGCAGAGGUUCGAUUUCAAUCAAUUGGGAACGGAUCGAAGAAGGGAAAGAAGCACACACAUCAAUCAUUGAAACGAGUAAAAGCAUUUACCUGUGAUGAAGAACCAGUUGUGAAGUGAAGAGGAAAACCGGAGAGGAGGAUCCACUGGAGCAGAUUGGCGAAAUAAACGCGGAAGGCUGAAGAAAUUCUUUAUUUCUCGCUACUUCGACCUCUUCUUCUAUUCUUCUUCCCGAAUUCCUCUUUUUCUUUGAAUUUCUGGAAUGUUGUAUUCUGAUUGUGAGAAUUGUUGUAAUGCAGAUGUUGAUGUUGAUGAACGUGAUUGCAGGUUGAAGGUAAUGCUAUAACGAAGAUGAUCAUGUUGCUUCUUGAUGAAGAUUUUCAGAAUUGAAGAAAUAAGAUGAUGAAUGGAGUUGUUGAAUCAAAGGCGGUUUUGCAGAUGAAGAUGAAGAAGGGUGAUGAAGAUUUAAUGUCAAGAAGGUGAUGGUGAUGGAGAUGAAUGAGAAUGGUGGAGAAGAUGGUGUGGGAAGAGAAUUCAGAGAUGAAGAUUAUGAGUUAGAGAUGAAGCAGAAAAAAUGGUGGAGAGCUUCUGACUUUGAGGGAGAGGAGUUUAUAUAAUUGAGAGGGCUGAAGAUGGUGAGAAAAUCUGAGAAAAUUGGUUACAAGGGAAGAAAUCUCCACUCUCGAUUCAAACAAGUCAGUUACAAAAGGAAGGGUGAAGAUUUAGUUCUGAGGGGCUCCGUUUGGUUGUUUGAAGGUGUAUGGAUCUGGUUUGAAUGGAACUGUUAGAGGAAUUAGUUACAGAUUAAAGACCGAGACCGAAACCGUUACGAGUUAGCGAACGAGACGCUUUGGACUGAACUGUGAGUUUCCUUUGCUGUGGGUCACACCAGCUUUAUUGAACAUGAGCGUUUGUGGUAUGAACUCAGUUUUGGGAGAAUUCACAUAGGAUUGCAGGCUGGGAGGAUCUCGGUAAAGGCGCUUGCAUUCCAGUCUGAACUAUAAUAAUGACUGAACUAUAAUAAUGAUGCUAUGAGCUGAAGUGUAAAAGCAUUAGUAAUUAUCAUGGCAGUUAGAUAACAUAGGAAAGUAGCUUGAACAUGUACUGUCAGAAGGUUAUAGCCCUUAUUAUAUACAUUUUUUUAUUGUAUGUAAAUUUUCUUGCAAUAUGAUGUGUAAUGGUGAUGGCCCUGCAAGGUAUUUUGAAUACAUAUGUACGAGUAAUACUUUGAAUGAGAAGUGAUGGGAAAUGUUUGAAAUUGAACAGUUGAAUCAAA